AUGGCUCAGCCAACGUGUUACAGAGGGCCGGUAUCAACUACACUGGGGCUUGCUACAUUGUAGUUGAUACCUGCCACACCUUUGUGCACCUUCAACGCACCUUCAAGACUUCAGAAUCAGCAGCAGAAGAAUGUUGCUUUUCAUCCAGGACCUGACUACAUUAGUCUUCAGGCAAGACACCCUGGCCAGGUCUACGGUCUAUCCUUGCUGGGAAGACAAGGUGUGAGACAGAUUCCCUAAUGCCAAGGUCAGCGAGAUCUGGGCCCUGCUGUGGAGGAAAUGUAACAAAGAGAGCUACAACAAGAUCCUUCCCCAGUGAUCGGCAUGGCCGUUAUCUUGAAUUUUGUUUCUGUUAAAGGCCCCCUCCUGUGAAAAAUGGACUUUUAAAGCCAAUAAAUGAUAUGAGUGCAACCAUCAUGUUCAACACUUAUAUUAGCUAAGUUAGCCUGUUAGCUUGUAGGUUGGAUAUCGAGCGUAAUAAACAGUUUCAAGUUUCAAGUAAAAUGUUAAAAAGUGAACUUUAAGAGAAAAAUGUUUUGUCAAUUGGGCCGAUUUUUUGUUGGUGAAUUACACUUGCCCAAAUUAAGGUGUUUUUUUUCUACAGAGCUGUAAAGUGUGUAAAAUUUGUAUUAAUCUUUUAAUGUCAAUAAAAUUGUGU